GGCCUCUCCUUGCUUUGGUUGAUAUUUAUUUAAUUAUCACUGGGCAAAGUAGACCCUGC
rnacentral:pre_miRNA from 1 species